UGCAGCCAAAUAUAUUAAAAUACAAGCUUUACCACUCUCCUUGCUGAGCAGGGAGGUGGAUUAGAGCAAUUACAUUUUCCUGGCGUAAGGUCCUUCCACUGCCAACAGCUGAGUUUGAAGGUUGCAGAGCUGAAGUGGGCAGCGUGGGAGGUGGGUGUGGAAAAUCUUCCUUCCUCUUAGUGGGAGUCUCAGCAAAUCCCUGCCUUGCAGCUCUCCGGAACAGCCAGCUGUGGAGAGAGGGGAAUCCUUCAUUAAGCUCCCAAAGCACUUUUCAGGCAGUGAUCUCAUUACGCUGGAUGAUAUCCAGGGACUGUUGUGGGCACUUUCAUCAAUGUUGUAACACUCUUGUUCUGAAACCUUACGUUUUUCCCUUGCAAUGAGGGAGUACGUCUGUGCGAGUGUGGUCACCGAUGCACUGUCCUUUCAGGCCUUGUUUUCAGGUAUGCAAGGAUUUCUGGUGUUUAACCUAACUUGCCAGGUCCUGUGUUGCCUGAACACGAUGCAAGGAGGAACGACUUCUCCCCUGGGUCCGUCUAUCUCUUCCCUCACACGAGGUCAGCAGCCAAGUGAGCAAUUUACUUCCUGUUUUCAACUUCAAAUGCACUAGAAAAGCUGUUUGGCCCCACUGGUGUGGCUCUCAAGUGGAGAAAUUUCUUGCUGGCAGAAAGCAGUAGCUCUGCCCUCAGAGAGGGUGAGCAACCAUCUUCGGUAGAACAGCCCGCACUGGUGGCCUCUCCGACUGACACUAUUCCUCCUCUCAGUAAAUGUGACAUUAUGUCCCUGCAGUGCCGUAGAGGAUUAGCCCAGAGAGUCAGCUUAAAACCGGGGCUGAAAAGCAGCUACUGAAGAAAACCCAUUUAAACCAAGUAGGAACAGAAACGGUGAUGCUUCACAUUCCUCGCCCUUCCAUUAGCACCAGUAGAGCAAGCCAGACAACGGACAGGCAGUGCAUCUGGUGAGGCAAGGGCCUCCAAACAUGGUGUUUACUGUUGUAUGGAACCUCCACUGUUAACGCCGCUUCCUUCCCCGUGCAGCACUGAAUGUAUUAAACAAGAAAGCAACAACAGAAUAGGCUGGCUGUGAUGCACAGCCAAGGGAAAAGUAACGUCCUCUUUAAAUGUGCCUUAUGUCACUUUAGGGGACAAAAGCUGUGACGCUGUGGCUGGAGAGAGCUCAGCAGCUUAAGCUCCUUAAUACUAGAUUAUUAGUUGUAUACCUAACAGCGCUUGAGCUUGUAGUGACAAUUCAUUGACAGGGAAUCAGAAGCUAAGUUCGAUAAAUAUCUAGUGAAGGAAGAAUGUAUUUUGGGUGUUACAUUCAUCAUUUUAAGAGCCGUUUGUUUUAUUCUACUCGGGAGCUAGCUCAAAUGUGCCUGCACUUUAGCUGUCAAUAACUUGCCCUCCUGCACUUUGAAUUAAAAGUUGUCUUCAGGCUCUGUCAGAGGAGCUGCAGAAAGUCCUGAUGGGACGAUUUACAACGCUACCAGCUCUGGACGCUGAAAUUCAUCACCCCUCUGGCCGAGUGAGAGAAACAGAGGCACAUCGCCAACCACUGCUUCAGGGCAGGAGCCAGGCUUCAGACCGGAGCCAGCUUACGCAGGCCACGAAGGUCUCAGUACCACUGACUCAGGCAGUUUUGUACAGCGCAAUAGACAGACCAUAUUGCUCUGGACUGUCGCAGUCCUCUCUUCUACCUUGGUUAUGCCACAGCAAAACCAAGGGAAAAGGCUCUUUGCAUGCAGAACUCAGGACAUCCACGGAGCUGCUGAUCUCGCACACGCAGGCCUUCACCUUCCAGAAGUGAAAUCUCUAACUUGCUGCGGGGGCCACGGUCUUCUGGCAGAGGCG